rnacentral:lncRNA from 1 species
CCCAAUUCUCUCUCUUUUUAAAGAUUCUACAUACAAAGGAGAUCUUACAGUAUUGAUUUCACUGUGUCUGGCUUUUCCAGUUACCAGAUGAGUGAGUUCUGGGGAUCUAACAUACAUUGUGGUGACUAUGGUUAAUAAUACUAUCUGGCAUACUACUUGAACUUUGGUAAGACAAUAGAUCUUAAAUGUUCUCACCACACAUACAAAUGUUAAUUAUGUGAGAUGAGAGAUGUGCUAAUUAACUUGAUUGUGCUUAUUUCAUAAUGUAUAUGUAUAUUAUAUCAUCAUGUUGUAUACCUUAAAUGCAUACAUUUUUUAACGUGUUUUUCUAAUUUUUUUUUUUUUUUUUUUUUUUUGAGACAGAGCUUCAGUCUGUCACCCAGGCUGCAGUGCAGUGGUGUGAUCACGGUUCGCUGCAGCCUCAACCUUGGACUCAAGUGAUCCUCCCACCUCAGUCUCCCAAGUAGCUUGGGACUACAGGCACGCACCACCACACCUGGUUAAUUUUUUAAUUUUUGUAGAGAUGGGGUCCCACUGUGUUGUCCAAGCUGGUCUUGAAUUCCUGGGCUCAAGCCCCGGGCCUCCCAAAGUUCUGGGAUUACAGGUGUGAGCUACUGCACCCGGACUACAAUUUUUGUCAAUUAUAUCUCAAUAAAGCAAUAACGCAAAAAUAAGCCAAAGCCCAUCUCUUUGGCUUGGUCCUCACUGCUUAUAAUUGAUCAGUUCUCUUGGGGAUUCUGAUUUUCUGUAACUAUAGUGUAUUACUUUACUCUUCAGCUUCCAGAAACUAGCAUGUAUAAGAACAAAUCUAUGAUAAAAAUUAUAUAUAUUGCCAACAGGUACACGGAAACAUAUCAAAGGGUGAAUGAGUUGAUGAUCACUGUAAUGCCAACUCCUGCCACAUCCUUCUCUGGAUUUCUUGGCUAUUGUUGGUCUUUGGCUCUCCCAUCACAAAAAGGAGAAAUGAAAUUAAAUCAGAAUUUGAAAAGGGG